rnacentral:lncRNA from 1 species
UUAUUUUGGGAAGGAGGAAGUAUAAGAUAAGACUUGGGAGCACUACAUAGGAACCUUUUUUUUUGAAAGCGUACAACCUAAAGCAUACGAUUACUUGCAUUCGUCUGAGUAGGAAAACAGUACAUACAUACAUAUAAGUUCGAAUGAACGCAAGGAUACAACGGUGUCAUCGUUGCCACCUAGUUACAUGAAAGACUCUCACUAAAUGAAAAUUACAGAAUAGUCCCACGAAUCAAUUGUCUUCCUCACGACCUCCCAACGUCCAAAUCCUCUGUUGAAGCCAACUCCAUAGAAGAAAAACAAUGAUGGCAAGGUCGAACCGUGGAGCUAGAACAGCCCCUAGCCAUAAGGCGUUGAUGAGCCGCAACAUCCACGGGCCCAUGAAGCUAGAUCUAAAUCUGAAUCUUCCACCAAUCGGAGGCAAAAUCCCUUGUGGACUUGCUCCCUGAGCUUCUUCCAUCCUGGAACUCACCGACGCACCAAGAGGCAGCCAAAUCCAUCUUCCUCUAGCCACAUACC